UCGCGCGCGGUCCUGUCCCGGCGCGCCCCCUCAGCCGCACUCUCGCCGCGUGCGCCCCGCGUGCUCCGCACAGACGCGACUCCGCGGCUCCGAGCCUCCGACACUCGCUCCCAACCGAGAUUACCUUUGUUCCGAGUACUUCUCGAGAGACUCCCGCGUUUUAAACUUUAGACUGUUAGCUUCUCACUUCUCAGCGAAGGCGGUGGACACCGGCGGUCAGGGAGCGAAUAAUAUGUAAUACGUCACCGCUCAGUGGCGUUUAUAGACAGUAGAAACACUUAGUGUGAGUGAAUCGGUGUCAGAAGCGAACGAAAAUGGGCAAGAAGAACUCAAAACUAAAGCAGGACACGAUCGACAGACUCACGACGGCUACGUACUUUACUGAAAAGGAAAUAAGGCUUUGGCACAAAGGGUUCCUGAAGGACUGUCCAAACGGCCUGCUCACUGAGCAAGGCUUCAUAAAGAUCUACAAACAGUUCUUCCCACAAGGUGACCCCAGCAAGUUUGCGUCACUAGUCUUUCGAGUGUUCGACGAAAACAAUGACGGGUCGAUUGAGUUUGAAGAGUUUAUACGAGCGUUAUCGGUGACGUCAAGGGGAAAUCUCGACGAAAAGUUACAUUGGGCUUUCCGCUUAUACGACGUGGAUAACGACGGCUACAUCACCCGAGACGAAAUGUACAACAUAGUAGACGCAAUCUACCAGAUGGUGGGACAAACCCCGCAGCCGGAGGACGAGAAUACUCCACAAAAGCGCGUAGACAAGAUCUUCGACCAGAUGGACAAGAAUCAUGACGACAGGCUGACGCUGGAAGAGUUCCGCGAAGGUAGCAAGGCGGACCCGCGCAUUGUUCAGGCCCUCUCGCUUGGGGGCGAUUAAUCUACGGUCAUCCUCUCGCCGGACUUCACAUUCACUUAGAGAGCUACUGUGGGGUGUCGCUGCGUGUGGUGCUGUCUUUACUAAGGCGUACACUACCUCCUAAUUUCCUGACUUCAUAUAGUAUGGUACAAAAAAUUAUGAAUAUUCUAAAACGUGCGAACUAACCGUUUAAACGGCCAUCUAAGCGAUUAAUAUUUCAGCUAUGGCCAAUAUGAAUUUCGAUUACUUACAAUAAAUUUCUUUCCUAAUAUUUAGUUGUGUACUCGUAUUUUAAUAGACACUUUGUAUUUACACCUACAAUUCGUAUUAUAAUUUAAUAUUUUUAUAAUUUACUUACCUACUGACUUGACAAACCCUGUCUUAAUGUAUAUAACUCUAUAGUGGAUAAAAUCAUUGCAAACGUUGAUACAAAUGGACUUAAGUUUACGAUGACUUCUGACACUUUGAUUUAAAUCCACCUUAGCUUAUAAAGUUGUUCUAAUUAUGUCACUACCGUCGCAGCUUCAAAAUUUAUCUACUUACCUACUUAACGGUUUGUUUCCAAAUAUGAAGUUGUACAACCACACACAGGUCUUAGAUCGAAUACUAUAGCCGUCACAUACAUACAGGGUGUUAGUGACAUCGUAACGAAAACUUUGAGGGAUGAUUGAGACCAUGAUUAUGAGAUGAUAUCAAGUGGAAUUUUCCGUCGCAAAAUUAUGGAACAGAAAAUAACUUAAAAAAAAACAAAAAUUUUCAUGAAUUUUCCGACUGAAAAUUCCACUUGAUUUCAACUCAGAAUCAUGGUCUAAAUGAUCCCCCUCAGUAUUCGUUACGGUGUCACUAACACCCAUACCUACUUGUAUGGCUACAGUAUGUACUCGUGCGGGGUGUAAGUGACAUCGUAACGAAUACUGAGGGGGAUGAUUCAGCUGAUUAUUCUGAGUUAAUAUCAAGUGCAAUUUUUCAUCGCAAAAGUAUAGAAUUGAAAAUAAUUUAACUUAAUAUUAACUCAGAAUCAUGGUCUGAAUCAACCCCCUCAGUAUUCGUUACGAUGUCACUAACACCCAGUAUAUCACCCUCAUGUUAUGUAGCUAGGUAAAGGUCGUGUACGCUCUUCAUGUUGUUUUAUGGCGACGUGAUUCUUUAGAACUUACUUAUCAUUUGAUAGGUAUUCUUGUUUGCAAGCUCAGUGAUGACGUGCUGUCGGUCAACUCCAGAACAAAAAAAAACAUUCACGGCCUUCAUAGCCGUGUUUUGAUGUUGGCAUCUUACUAAUUCCAUAUUUGACAUAAUUAUAAUAUUUCUAAUAUAUUACAUAACAUACGUACAAGUACCUUCAUUCUAACGGAUCAGCGUGUUUGCGUAGUUUAAUGUUUAACCCUAUAUAAGUAUAUUAAUGUUAAUUUAAGGAAUGUAAUUUUUAAAUGUCUGCUUUGUAGCGUUAGAUCAUGAAGAUUAAAUGUAAUUGUUGGAUGUUAUAAAAAAUAUAUUUUGUACCUAUAUAAAAGCGCCACCCGCAGCGAGUUUGACAUGGAUUUAAGAAUUAAGUAAUAUUUGCCAAUAUGAACACCGGUAGAAGAGCGAGGCUUUUUACUUUGGUUCGUCAAAUCUUAGUAGACACAUUUUAAUUAAAAGUAAAAGUCGCCCUCUUGCCCCUUUUUUUUAAAGUGACUUAUUUCUCAGAUGGCAUUAACUACUUGGCCGGAUGUCCCUGUCCCGCAUACAUCCCGCCAGCAUUCAUUUUCCUCGACAUUUUGAUGUCUCCAACCCCAUUCGAAUGUGCUCCUUAAGUCCUAGAGACAAGUAAGUAAUAAAUAAAAAGUACGGUGGCAAUAUGCCAGACAUCGCGCCGCCAGUCGGGUGGACCCCUUGUUCUAUCUGCACUUCGUAUACACCUAUCUACUUGCCUACCACAUGUUUAAUCGUCCAGAUGUUCCUUCCCCUAUGCUUCUUAGAACCAGUAGCUCUUUAUUACAUUUUCAUAAUCAUCAAGUGACACUUUUUCUCGUGAAAACAUAUACGGCUCUACCACAAAAUGGUGUUUAGCACUAGAUACUGUCAGCUAUGCAAAUUUUCACCCAAUUUCAAAAGAGCACGAUUUAAUUUUGGGGAGUCAUUCUUCUUAAACAGUGAUUUUUCAGAACAUAGUAUUGUGGUAGAGCCGCUAUUGUUUAACAAUAAUAGUAGUCACGGAAUUAAUUUAAUUAAAUAUACUUAAUACGUAGGUACUUAAGUAAAAUAUCCUCGCCAUCCAUUUCGUGUUGGCAAAUUUAAAUGACGCUCUUUAAGAAGUAAAGACGUGAAUACCUACUUGUGGUACUGGGCCUGCUUAUUCUGGCUUGAGACUCAAGAAUAGGUUCGAUGUGAAUGAGUUGAGCUUUGUUUCACUCCGCCUCGUGCUUAAUCCGACGACGAGCUAUAUCCGUGCGAGAGAAUGAUCAUGGACUCUUCGUCCCACGUUUGUAAAAACUCUUUUUGUAAUUUAUAUUACUCGUAUUGUUUAUCUAAGUUUCCAUGUCUUUUAAAUAAGUAGAUUAUAUAUUCUCAAACUUGUAAUUAUUUGAGUUAAUUUGUAAGAUGUUAUAAGGGUCUGUUUAUUCACAUGUUAGACGAAACGAGCAUUACGAAUGAACAAGCACUUGUAUUUGAGCAGCGUCUCGUCGGGCGACACGAGAGCAACAUCCCGACGACGACGCCUGGUGUCCGUGCGUGCCUCUGCCCCUCCGGCGGGGUCUCACGCUCACCUGCCCCCUGUUCCACCAAAUAUAUUAUAAUAUACAUCAACUAAUAACUAUAGCUUCGUGUUCAGAGCACUUUUCCUACGAUAACCGCCUUACCAAUAAAAAUUAACAAGAGGUGAACGUAACGUGUGUAUAAAUAUAAGACAGUCAAAUUAAAUUUAAUUCAAAUAUCAAAUAAUGAGGGACUUUCCAGACUCCGUUCUCCAAAAAUAAUAUAGGUGGCGCUGUCAAGAUUUAACGUCAUAAUUACCUAUUUUCUCAUUACUCCUUUUUAUUACAUUAAACGUACAAUGUAAUGGCAGAAGCAUACUUAAUGUUGUUCUCUUUUUUGAUCAGAACAAUAAUGGGUGGAAGAUGUUAUUGUGCCUGGGUGUAAUAAAAAGGGUCAUUCAUAACCAACAUCACAGAUCAUUUAUACCCAAAAACAAAGAUAAAAGGUACCUAAGUAUGUCUGUUAGUUGUCAAUGACAUUUAGAAGGUUAAACAAAGGAAAAUCUUUACAGCCCCAACUAAAGCAAAUAUAAAUUGUUACUGGCAAUAAAUUUAUUUUAUUCUUAUUCUUAUUCUAUAUUGUUUUUGAGGAACAUAGCCUGGAAAGUCCCUCACUGGACUGAAUUUCGCCUGGCCAUCAAAUACUUCACACACAUUUACCGCUUGUUUACGUUAUAUUGGUAAAGCGGUUAGUUUAUAAACUUUUCUUGAAACAUCACGUUACAUUACAAUGUUAUUGUUAUUGUUGAUAAAUAAUUAGGUUUUUAAGUGUUGCGCCCCAUUUAAAGUUAAAUUUGCAUUUUGGGAUAAUAUAAAAUUUUUGGCAAACAUGCGUUUUGGGUUUUUACAGCCCUAUAGGUAUUAAAUUUUUUCUCCUAGAAACGCGUGCUAUGUGACAGCCGACGUAAAUUAUAAGUAAUCUAAUCAUAAACGUCUACAAUUUGAGACGCCACAUUAUAAUCAAAACUUAUGAAAAUUGUAAUUUAAACUUUUAGGUAAGGAAGGACGUUGAUUCAUAAAACAAUGAUUUUAUUUUGGAUAGUACCUAACUUGAAAAGCAAUUUGGUAGUGAUAACGGUAUUUUCGAGAAGUAUAAUUGAUCGAUGAUAACGAUAAUGAGAUUAUAAUAGCGAUAAGUACCUAGCAAGACUUAUGUGAUCGUGUGUGUGGCGCGCUCCAACGGCGUUCGAAUCUCUUGUCGAGUAUAAACAAAGUGACAAAUAAAUAACUUUAAUUACCUACUACGUACUUUGUUCAUAACAACUUAUCCAUGUAUUAGGAACGUAGUGUGAAGAAGUAGAUAAUACGGUUUAACUUUCGAUAUAGCACGUUUUUCCACGAGGGAGGUAGUCAGUCGCAGCUCUCACUACGUCCCAAGUACUUGCCGUACUGGGCGGCGCACGGGCCGCUCUCCGCUUGCGGUAUCGCUCGCGCCGCGCCCGCACCUGAUCUCGCGCACUUCGCACUUUCAUUCAGAGAGCACACUCUAUUCUUUAUAUUGUCUUUGCCAAAUUUAGUGUACAAACUACUCUUUGACUACUAUAGGUACAUCUUUCUCCAUCCUUUUGGCAAAUUCUGAAUAAAUAUAUUUUGGAAGAUUUUUGGAUAUUUCCGUUAGCGACUCUCAACAUAAUGUAGGUAUGUAGUUUUAACAUUAAGAAUCUUAAUAACUUAUAAGAUCAUAACAGCUUUAUAUAACCAUCUACUUAAAUUGUUAUAUUUUGCUAAAUUUAAAGUAAAGGAGAUUGACAGGGUCCGGUCCAAAUGUUACCCAGAAAAGAGUACUAUGUAGGUACGCAGCAAGAUAAUACCUAAUAUUAGAUUCUAUCUUCCGUGGUUUGCAUUAUAACAAAAAUUAUUAAAAUGCCCAUAUAAAAGUUUUUACCCCGAGUAUUUAUGAUAGAUACAAGUUAAUAGUACCUACCUGGAGAUUAUGAGUUUAUACCCACCCACUAUCUAUUACAUUUACAUGAAUGUUUUGGAGCCAUGUGUAUAAAGUACAAGGAUAAUACGGUACAGAUUCCCCAGUAGAUACUACGGGAUAGUUUAAAAUGUUUAAACGGAAUUUCAUACAAAGAUAACAUUAUGUAGAUACUGCUCUCAAUUCUGGGUAGCGUUUAGAGCAAAUCCCAUACAAAGACUGGCAAUGUCCUUUCAUAUAGUAGGUAGAUAGAGACCUACUUAAGUUACUUGUAACGGAUAUACCUACUACCCAUAUAAACUAACUCAACUAUUUGCUACUUACAAUAUUUCUGCUACUUUUGCGAAGGCGUCUUUAGCUCGGAAUUCGACGAUCGUAGCUUAAUGGUAGUUUCGGAUCGCAAGUCAAUUUGUGUCUUUAAAAGGUAUUAGUAGGCGGUAAGAUGCGUUUUUCAAACGAACUAGAGUAGGGAAAUUGUUGCGGGCUGUGCAUUUGUUAGGUUAAGUAGCUAAUCAUGUGCAUAAGUGCUAUGACUUUGUUGGGCGACGCCAUGACAUGAAACUUGCUUGUUAUCAGCUUUUCGUAAUAAUUUAUUUUCAUACAUAGGUACUACAAUAAUACUUUCGUUUCUAUUUAAGUAGCUUAACAUUAAAAACCUUCGUACAAUCACUUAUUAUCGCAAAUACGUACUACCUAUUUGAUUUGGACCAUGAAGGAAUACCAGCCUGACACUUUGACACCGACUCGCUACCAGCAAGUCCCCGUAAGCCUCUCACCUUCCCCUGUUGUUCUCCCGUAUUACAAUAUUAGGGGCAACAUCAGCUAGGUAUACCUGCGGAUCUAAACUUAGGUACUCAUAUUUGUUAUAACAUUGUGUAUUUAUUCAUUUCAUGUCAUAAGGAAUCAUUUUAUCUAAAUGUGCUAGUACUGUAGUCGUUAAUAGAGUUAAGAACUUCGUAAUAUUUAAAAUAACGCACUCGAAUUAAGUAUAUCGUUCGAUCUCUUGCCUUAUUGCAGCGGUGGGAGUUUGUGGUGUUAGACCCCACGAAUUUUCAAUAUGUAUUUUUACUAAGACAAUCAACGUUCUCAAAGUUAUUGUACCUAUAGAAAGAAAUCAUUUAAUUAGGUACACCUUUGUCGCAUUUUCUGUCCAUUCAAAAUGUUUAAUCUUAUUAACGUUACCAAAAAGUGUACUAUUAAAAAAUCCUAAAUAAGCCCCUCUGCUAAAAAACCGAGUUCAUUUGCUUUUGUUAUAACUUUUAAAAGUCACACUGAAGAUUCCAUGUGAAUAUUACGAAUAAGUUCUACCUAAUAAGGUAUCUUUCAUGAUUAAUUUUUUAAUUAUUUUUAAAUGGGUACCCAAUUUAAAAGUAGUAGCGUUUACUUUAGUUAUCAGGAAAGAACAAAAGCAAAAUUCGUAGGUACCGCUUAUUUUUCUAUCUAUUGUUGAAAUCAAACAUCAUAAGAAUUUUGUUUGGCUUUCGUUGAUUGUCUUUUAUUGUCGUAACCCAUUGGUCAAGUAGUAUUAACAUUGAUUUUGAACUGUCAGCUAUCGUUAUAUAGAAUUUUAAUAAUUACCUACCUAUCUAAAAUAAUAUCUAUGGCUUGUUCAUGUUUCUCUAGAAUAUCUAUCAUUGGUGGCGAACUAAGAAAUCAACCAGAUUACUCAUUAAGUAAUAAAAGGUAUAUUACAUAAAAAAGAAAUCCAUUUUCAAUAUAAUUUACCUACUUAAUGGUGCUAAUUCCUGUAAAUACCAUCUAAUUUUAUUUUAAGUUAUAUCUGUCAUUUUCUUAUCCGCCGAAAAGGAAAGGGACGAGUAAUCGACAAGCAUAAAAUUUAUGGAACACACGUCAAUUUUAAGCACAAAUCUAAACCAACCGUCUAAAAAUUUUACCAUGUCAAUAACCCGACACAGUUAAGUAGACAGCACGUCAAACGGAUUGCAUACCAGCGACGUACCUUUUGAUUCGCGCGGGUUAUUCAAUCAUUUACUCAUUCUUCCUAAAAUUAAGAGCUGUGAAUCAUCCGUCCCUUUCCUUUUCGACGGAUAUGAAAAUGACGGAUAUAACUUAAAAUAAAAUUAGGCGGUGUCUGCAGGAAUCGGGGCCAUUAGGUACCUAAUUUAAACAACAAUUUUGUUUAUAAGUAAUUUGUUUCCACGUAUGUCAACAUAAAUACUUACAUUGUAAUUAUUCAGAAGUAGAUCCAAAACGGAUAAGGGUACUUAACACGCUUUUGCCUUUAUAAUAAGAUUGAACCUUUUAAUUUACUUCCACAUUCGCAGUGCAAGAUUUUUUACAUAAAAUUACAAAUUGUGCCGUUCGCUACCAAAAUCCUUUAAUUUACUAUCUACAUAAAAAUAUCUAUGACUCUCUCUUUCUAUGUAAAUAGUAAUUAUUAUUAUUAUUCGCCUACUUUUCUAGAC
rnacentral:misc_RNA from 1 species